AUACGUAGGUGGCAAGCGUUGUCCGGAAUUAUUGGGCGUAAAGCGCAUGUAGGCGGUUUGGUAAGUCGGUCGUGAAAAUGCGGUGCUUAACGCCGUAUGGCGAUUGAAACUGCUGAACUUGAGUGCAGGAGAGGAAAGGGGAACUCCCAGUGUAGCGGUGAAAUGCGUAGAUAUUGGGGAGAACACCGGUGGCGAAGGCGCCUUUCUGGACUGUGUCUGACGCUCAGAUGCGAAAGCCAGGGUAGCGAACGGGAUUAGAUACCCCGGUAGUCCUGGCCGUAAACGAUGGGUACUAGGUGUGGGAGGUAUCGACUCCUUCCGUGCCGGAGUUAACGCAAUAAGUACCCCGCCUGGGGAGUACGGCCGCAAGGCUUAAACUUAAAGGAAUUGACGGGG
rnacentral:rRNA from 1 species